CAGAUUACUUUGCUAAGUCCCGAACGAUAAAACUGAUUGCAAAAGCUUCCAAAAACAGGGGUUUCAAUGCAAUAUCGUGAUUGGACACAGGCGAGAGACGGACUAGGGACAUCGGAACACACCAAAGGCGGAGGAUCCUGUAUUAUCGUCCGCAUAUUCCUGUACAUACUGUCAAGGCAACUUCGGAAUCUGACUACGCGCAACGUUAUCCCGUGUUCAUCCGGCUCGUUUGUGCUGCUGGAGAUCAAGAUUAUGCGUUGUGUUUAGAAUAUGCUGUUAAGGAUCUGGCCACCCACUCUACCCGGGCUGAAGCUUUCCGCUGUUACAAUAUUAUAUUUCGAACAAGAGUUCUGUUUAUCUGAAUGCUGGGGAUUUGGAUAACGAUGUUGAUGUUGCGUCUAGUUCCGAAACAAUUCACUUACCCUACAACACACAGGAGUAGUGUUAAUUCCGCAUUUGACAUCAAUACCAGCAACUAAAAAUUCAAUCGGAUCCGACACAGAAUUAAUUAAUCUUGAAGAAAAGUUAACGAUGGAAACUGCACGCUUUCAUUCUAGAACACAUGUUAGUGUUAUCGUCAAAAUGUUUGGUUUCAAAGGUGUAAUAUACACUAGCCGCUAAAUGUUUUGUAUCAAUUUUGGGAUCUGUCAACAACAGCUUCCUUUGCAAUUUAUCGCUCGUUAUAUAUUUCAUUGUGGAGUGUACGCACGGCACUUCGCUGUUCUAUAGUGAUCUGCCUCCGAUUAAUUAUGUUGAAUUACUAAAUCUUCCUGGAACAUGAAACUUUAUCUUACCGUAUGAUUACCGUAUGAUUACCGUUGAUUAUCUUACCGUUGUGAUUUCUUAAUUCGAUCAAAGAAACGUUGAAAACUAAGGAUGCAAUUUAAGCAAAAUUGUAUGUCAACACGUUCGUGGACAGAAAAAUUUUAAUGAGUUGUAAAAAUAGACAAGCGAUUUAAACAUAAAUGAUUACAUCGAAGUGCGUUAUAACUUCAAAAGAUAAA